rnacentral:rRNA from 1 species
GACGAACGCUGGCGGCGUGCUUAACACAUGCCAGUCGAACGGACAGGUCCUGCUUUUGUGGGGUGCUCGAGUGGCGAACGGGUGAGUAACACGUGAGUAACCUGCCCUUGACUUUGGGAUAACUUCAGGAAACUGGGGCUAAUACCGGAUAGGAGCUCCUGCUGCAUGGUGGGGGUUGGAAAGUUUCGGCGGUUGGGGAUGGACGCGCGCAUUAUCAGCUUGUUGGGGGGGUGGUGGCUGAGCAUGGCUUUGACGGGUAGCCGGCCUGAGAGGGUGACCGGCCACAUCGGGACUGGGAUGCGGCCCAGCCUCCUACCGGAGGCAGCAGUGGAGAGUAUAGCACAACGGGCGGAAGCAUGAUGCAGCAACGCCGUGUGCGGGAUGACGGCCUUCGGGUUGUAAACCGCUUUCGCCUGUGACGAAGCGUGAGUGACGGUAAUGGGUAAAGAAGCCCCGGCUAACUACGUG